rnacentral:rRNA from 1 species
GAUGAACGCUGGCGGCGUGCCUAAUACAUGCAAGUCGAGCGAACAGACGAGGAGCUUGCUCCUCUGACGUUAGCGGCGGACGGGUGAGUAACACGUGGAUAACCUACCUAUAAGACUGGGAUAACUUCGGGAAACCGGAGCUAAUACCGGAUAAUAUAUUGAACCGCAUGGUUCAAUAGUGAAAGACGGUUUUGCUGUCACUUAUAGAUGGAUCCGCGCCGCAUUAGCUAGUUGGUAAGGUAACGGCUUACCAAGGCAACGAUGCGUAGCCGACCUGAGAGGGUGAUCGGCCACACUGGAGCUGAGACACGGUCCAGACUCCUACGGGAGGCAGCAGUAGGGAAUCUUCCGCAAUGGGCGGAAGCCUGACGGAGCAACGCCGCGUGAGUGAUGAAGGUCUUCGGAUCGUAAAACUCUGUUAUUAGGGAAGAACAAAUGUGUAAGUAACUAUGCACGUCUUGACGGUACCUAAUCAGAAAGCCACGGCUAACUACGUG